rnacentral:tRNA from 1 species
GCUAGUGUAGCUUAAGCUUAAAGCAUGGCACUGAAGAUGCCAAGAUAAAAUUUAAACCCUUUCACAAGCA